UUAAAGCCCCAGAUAGCAGUGAAAAGCCGAGAGGCAAAAAAAGCUAUUUUUUCAUGAAAGGAAAGAGCGACCGUAGGAGCUCCUUUGCUUUUAUUAGAAAAAAAGCUUUUUUGCGGAGCGCUUGAAACGGAUAGCUGGAAUUGGC
rnacentral:sRNA from 1 species